rfam:Gymnopus luxurians FD-317 M1 unplaced genomic scaffold GYMLTscaffold_80, whole genome shotgun sequence.
GGUCUAAUAGUGUAGAGGUUAGCACAUGGGAUUUUGAUAUGGCCGCCGACUUCGAGGCCCUAAUUUCCCAUAACCCAGGUUCGAGUCCUGGUUAGACCU